rnacentral:rRNA from 1 species
UACAGAGGUCCCAAGCGUUGUUCGGAUUCACUGGGCGUAAAGGGUGCGUAGGUGGUUAGGUAAGUCCGAUGUGAAAUCUCCAGGCUCAACCUGGAAAUGGCAUUGGAUACGGGCAGGCUAGAGUUCGGUAGGGGAGACUGGAAUUCCUGGUGUAGCGGUGAAAUGCGCAGAUAUCAGGAGGAACACCGGUGGCGAAGGCGGGUCUCUGGGCCGAUACUGACGCUGAGGAGCGAAAGCGUGGGGAGCGAACAGG